GACUAACGCUGGCGGCGUGCCUAACACAUGCAAGUCGAACGGGGUAGCAAUACCCAGUGGCAGACGGGUGGGUAACACGUAGAUAACGUGCCCUCUAGUCGGGGAUAGCCACUCGAAAGGGUGGGUAAUACCGGGUGUGAUCGUUUCGGGGCAUCCCGAGACAAUGAAAGCAGCAAUGCGCUAGAGGAGCGGUCUGCGGCCUAUUAGCUUGUUGGUGAGGUAAUGGCUCACCAAGGCGACGAUGGGUAGCCGGUCUGAGAGGAUGAUCGGCCACACUGGCACUGAGAUACGGGCCAGACUCCUACGGGAGGCAGCAGUGAGGAAUUUUGCGCAAUGGGCGAAAGCCUGACGCAGCGACGCCGCGUGAGGGAUGAAGGCCUU
rnacentral:rRNA from 1 species